rnacentral:rRNA from 1 species
GACAGCAGCCAUAUCACCCCUAACUCACAGCUGACACGCCAGUGGAUCUCAGCAGGUGUGAGCCUGGUCAGUACCUGGAUGGGAGACCUCCUGGGAAAAACUAAGGUUGCUGCUGGAA